CUUGAAAAUUGUAAGUUGUAGCAAAUACAGAGGACUCCUCAAGCUGAUCACGUCCCUUUCUUUGUCACGGAGAAAGGGCCGUCAAAUUACGAAUCCACCUUGGUGCAUCCACUGAUGAGGCCAGAGCCCUAAUGAUCCCCGUCAUUUCUCAGAGGCCUCACAUGUGAACACUGCUGCAUCGGGGACCAAGCCUUCAAUACAUGAACUUUGGGGGACACUCCAGACCCAAACUGUAACAGUUCCUCAGCUACUCUAUGCCUUAGUUUCUUCAUAUGAAAAAUGGGUUUAAUAAAACUUCCUUCCAUA